rnacentral:lncRNA from 1 species
CGUGAGCCCAGAUCAGGCCACUACACUCCAGCCGGGGCAACAGAGCGCAACUCCGUCUCAAAACAAACAAACAAAACAAAACAAAAAAAACUUAUAGACAAGUACAAAAUGAGAAGAAAAAGUCCCUUUCCCUUCAUGCCUCUACUUCCUGCUGUAUUCUCAAAGGACCUUCUCCUGGCAGCUGCCUAUGUUUUGGAUGCCCAGUACAACAGAAAUGUUCCAUUUGAAACUCACCUCAGGCCAUCAGACGUUACUAUUUUUAUAACCACUAGACAACGCAGGUUGCCGCAUACUUCUUUAUUUGUGUAGACCUCGCUCUUGCCCUGUUUGAAGAGCCUGAGUUGCUUCCCCUGCCUUUCUUGGCCACCUCAAUAGCAGAAGUACUCUGCCUGACUGCAUACUUUGGCAGACUGGUACAUUUUGCAAAAGUCACUCCUCAAAUGGUUUUCUGGAAGGAUACAAAAGACAUCUGCACCAUGGUAACCACAGUGGCGAGUGUUCAUUGUAGUACCUGUAAGAGUUUAUGACCGAAGGCAGGAGCCAUGAAGAAAAAAGACUCAAUAGAUUUGCUUUUGAUGAAACAACAACACUUCCAUACAGUGAACGCCAUAAGCACAACUGCAAGCAAACCGCAAACUGAAGAACAAAUAGGGCAAAAUGUGGCAGUGCAGACAUUUCAGCAUAUCAAGAGCACUUCCAAAUUACAGGAAAAAAAAGAUAUCUCAAUAGAUAAUUUUGCUGAAGAUAAGUGAAGGCAACUCAUAAGGAAAAAAUAUGUAAAAUGGCCGAUAGGAAA